CCUACGGGAGGCAGCAGUGGGGAAUUUUGGACAAUGGGCGAAAGCCUGAUCCAGCCAUUCCGCGUGAGUGAAGAAGGCCUUCGGGUUGUAAAGCUCUUUCGCAAGGGAAGAAAACUUAGAUACUAAUAUUAUCUGAGGUUGACGGUACCUUGAUAAGAAGCACCGGCUAACUACGUGCCAGCAGCCGCGGUAAUACGUAGGGUGCGAGCGUUAAUCGGAAUUACUGGGCGUAAAGCGUGCGCAGGCGGUUUUUGUAAGUCAGAUGUGAAAUCCCCGAGCUCAACUUGGGAACUGCGUUUGAAACUACAAGACUAGAAUAUGUCAGAGGGGGGUAGAAUUCCACGUGUAGCAGUGAAAUGCGUAGAGAUGUGGAGGAAUACCAAUGGCGAAGGCAGCCCCCUGGGAUAAUAUUGACGCUCAUGCACGAAAGCGUGGGGAGCAAACAGGAUUAGAUACCCUGGUAGUCCACGCCCUAAACGAUGUCUACUAGUUGUUGGUGGAGUAAAAUCCAUGAGUAACGCAGCUAACGCGUGAAGUAGACCGCCUGGGGAGUACGGUCGCAAGAUUAAAACUCAAAAGGAAUUGACCGGCGNGAGAGNGACGACGGACGACGACGAGGAGGAGG
rnacentral:rRNA from 1 species